AGAAAUCCCAAGCAAGUAAUUGACAUUGGAAAUUUUAAGAAAGAUAGGUAUGCAUUCAUGAAGAUUUCAGGUGAUUACAGCUUCCAUAUUUGCACCUUAUCUCCUAGAGAAUCAGGGAAUACCUGAAAUUUAAAAACUAGACAGAAAAGAUGAUCAACAGCAGUAGCAGGAGCAGUGUUUCAACAACAAGAUCAACCCAGUAAUGCUCAAGGAAAAUCACUUUGAACAAAAUUUGGAUCCACAAGAGUAGUACCCAAAGCUCAAAAUCAGGAUACAACCAAAAUCUAAACCCAAGCCCUUGGAUAACAACCAAAACACAGCUCAUUUUAGCCCUUUAGCUGUUCAGGAAUUAUAUCAGGGAGAGGAUCUCAAGAAUUUCAGAGAUUUUUCUUUCAAUAGAACAGUAGACCCCUUAGUUCUAGUCGCCUUAGUUUUCUGAUAUUUUUAUCUCUUCAAUUCUUCAAGGUUCCAGAAUUUCAGUCUUUUUUCUUCUUCUGAUUUUCAGCUCUCAAUUCUUUGUUUUUAUUUAUUUU
rnacentral:lncRNA from 1 species